rnacentral:rRNA from 1 species
CACAUGCAAGUCGAGCGGUAAGGCCUUUCGGGGUACACGAGCGGCGAACGGGUGAGUAACACGUGGGUGAUCUGCCCUGCACUCUGGGAUAAGCUUGGGAAACUGGGUCUAAUACCGGAUAUGACCACAGCAUGCAUGUGUUGUGGUGGAAAGAUUUAUCGGUGCAGGAUGGGCCCGCGGCCUAUCAGCUUGUUGGUGGGGUAAUGGCCUACCAAGGCGACGACGGGUAGCCGACCUGAGAGGGUGACCGGCCACACUGGGACUGAGACACGGCCCAGACUCCUACGGGAGGCAGCAGUGGGGAAUAUUGCACAAUGGGCGGAAGCCUGAUGCAGCGACGCCGCGUGAGGGAUGAAGGCCUUCGGGUUGUAAACCUCUUUCAGCAGGGACGAAGCGUGAGUGACGGUACCUGCA